GAUGAAGAACGUAGCGAAACGCGCUAUGUAAUGUGAAUUGCAGAAUUCAGUGAAUCAUCGAAUCUUUGAACGCACAUGGCGCCUUCCAGUAUCCUGGGAGGCAUGCCUGUCCGAGCGUCGUUUCAACCCUCGAGCCCCCGUGGCCCGGCGUUGGGGAUCUGCCACGGCAGGCCCCUAAAACCAGUGGCGGACCCGAAGGCCCUCUCCUUUGCGCAGUAGCAUCAGCCUCGCAUUGGGAUCCCUCGGCGUCCUGCCUCUAAACCCCCCACAAGUCCGCUCCGGCGGCACCAAGGUUGACCUCGGAUCAGGUAGGAAUACCCGCUGAACUUAAGCAUAUCAAUAAGCGGAGGA
rnacentral:misc_RNA from 1 species